AGAGUUUGAUCCUGGCUCAGGAUGAACGCUAGCGAGAGGCUUAACACAUGCAAGUCGAGGGGUAACAGGGGAGCUUGCUCCCGCUGACGACCGGCGCACGGGUGAGUAACGCGUAUGUAACCUGCCCAUUACAGGGGGAUAGCCUUCCGAAAGGGAGAUUAAGACCGCAUAAGACCACGCCGGGGCAUCCCGAAGUGGUUAAAUAUUCAUAGGUGAUGGCUGGGCAUGCGUGACAUUAGCUAGUUGGCGGGGCAACGGCCCACCAAGGCGACGAUGUCUAGGGGAACUGAGAGGUCGAUCCCCCACACUGGUACUGAGACACGGACCAGACUCCUACGGGAGGCAGCAGUGAGGAAUAUUGGUCAAUGGAGGCAACUCUGAACCAGCCAUCUCGCGUGAAGGAAUACGGCCCUAUGGGUCUUAAACUUCUUUUAUAGGGGGAUAAAGUGAGGCAUGUAUGCCUUUUUGUAGGUACCCUAUGAAUAAGCAUCGGCUAACUCCGUGCCAGCAGCCGCGGUAAUACGGAGGAUGCGAGCGUUAUCCGGAUUUAUUGGGUUUAAAGGGUGCGCAGGCGGCACGUUAAGUCAGCGGUGAAAUGCAGGGGCUCAACCCCGGCACUGCCGUUGAAACUGGCGAGCUCGAGUACGGAUGAAGUCGGCGGAAUGUGAUGUGUAGCGGUGAAAUGCUUAGAUAUGUCACAGAACACCGAUUGCGAAGGCAGCUGACUAAUCCGCAACUGACGCUCAGGCACGAAAGCGUGGGGAUCGAACAGGAUUAGAUACCCUGGUAGUCCACGCAGUAAACGAUGAAGGCUAGCUAUUUGCGAUAGACGGUAAGUGGCUAAGGGAAACCGAUAAGCCUUCCACCUGGGGAGUACGCCGGCAACGGUGAAACUCAAAGGAAUUGACGG
rnacentral:rRNA from 1 species